rnacentral:rRNA from 1 species
UACGUAUGGGGCAAGCGUUAUCCGGAAUUAUUGGGCGUAAAGAGUGCGUAGGUGGUUACCUAAGCGCAAGGUUUAAUCUUGAGGCUCAACCUCAUUCUGCCUUGCGAACUGGGCUACUUGAGUGCAGGAGGGGAAAGCGGAAUUCCCAGUGUAGCGGUGAAAUGCGUAGAUAUUGGGAAGAACACCGGUGGCGAAGGCGGCUUUCUGGACUGUAACUGACACUGAGGCACGAAAGCGUGGGGAGCAAACAGGAUUAGAUACCCCCGUAGUCCCUGAG